AUAUAUGAUUUAUAAAAUUAAGAGAUUAAUUUAUUAAUAAAUUGUAUUUAACUUUUUAAAAUUAUAGAUUCAAAGGGUAGUUUUGGGAUCGAAGACGGCCAGCGUCUCAUUGAGGGUUCUUCUGCCCAGAGGAGUCCAAGGCACCCUAAAAUCUUAAUAUCUCAAAUAAUUAACAAAUAAUAAAACACAAACACUCAGAAAUAUAUUUACAAACAGCAAAGCACCUGAUAGAUCUAAUCCACAAGGAUUCUUGAACUAGACAAAAAGAAAAUAGCUCCGAUGGUUUAUUUAAUGUGGUUUAUUUAUUUACAUCAAAGGCAGGAAUAGGGUUUCAAGGGUGGAGUCCUGAUGUCUUGCAGUCAGAAGGUUGAUUGAUAUCUUGGCAAGUUACACCCAUCUUAGAUGCUAUGUGGGGUCUUAGGCAGGGCUUGAGGGGGAAGUUCACUUUCAUUGCAGUCAGUCCCUGUGGGGAGUGCCCCAGGGAGUUCCUACUAUGUGCCACAUAGUCCACAGACAGCUCCAUGACAGGGUAGAUAAUAAAAGAAACCUUUGGGGGUAAAAAUGUCGGGAACCGCUCAACUGAACAUUACUGACCAGCAUUGUUGAAUUUAAACUUGGUUCAGUUCAUUGCCAUGGUUCCACAGGGUAGCAGUAGUGAGUUUUGAGUAAAAUUUCAGAUUGACACAUGAGCACUUGAAAAUUAAUUGGUAUAACUGAGGACUUCACUGAUCUAACACACAAAACAAACCCCAUGGAUUUUUCCCCAUAGUCUCCUACGCAGUAUAACCUCCACUUCCCUCAUCCUUCAAAUGUAUCCAAUUAAUCAGAUUUUUAAAAAUAAAACUCAUUAUUCUACUUCUUCAUAUUACAGUUGCUAAUGGUAUCUCCCACCUCUCCUCCUGCAAAACAAAAUAGGAGCUGGAUGUAUUAGUGGGUGCUCACCAACAGUUGUUGGUUGCCAUUACCAGCAGCCUGUAACACACCCCCUCUUGAUCCUAUUUAAUCAGCUUUUUUAUCACUGUAACCAAAAGAUCUGACAAGAACAUUUUUAGAACAGGAAAAGUUUAUUUGGGGGCUCGUGCUUCCGAGGUCUCAGUUCAUAGACCACUGACUCUCUGGCUCUGGGUCUGAGAUGAGGCAGAACACCAUAGCAGUAGGAUGUGGAGGAGGAAAGCCCUCAGGACCUGGCAAUCAGGAAGCAGAGCUUAUCAGGGAUAAAAUAUAAACCCAAAGUCACACCCCCAGUGACCCGCCCCUCCAGCCACCUUGUGUGCAUAGAGUUGAUCCCUAUCAGAGCAUUAAUGCACUGAUUAGGUUAAGGCUCUCAUAACCCAAUCAUUUCACCAAUCAUUUCACUUCUUGCAUUGUUGCACACAUGAGCUUUUGGGGGACACUUCAUAUCUAAACCAUAACAUUGU
rnacentral:lncRNA from 1 species